GUCUGCCUCUUUCUUCUCUCUCUGCCCUCUGUGUGCCCUCCAGAGUAAGGGGCUGGUUUCAAAUUUCACCCAGGAAGUUCACAAGAUCAGGCAACGCUGUCAUAUGUCUCCUCUACUCCAAGAGAUGAAUGUUCUAAACCAGCAGAAACCAGAAUACCACAUGCCAGUAUGAAGACAGAGGAGGAAAAGGGGGCACAAAAACCCAGCAGUGCUUCCUGUUGUGACAUCUAGAGCUGCAGCAACCAUCCCAUACCCAUGAGGUGACCGGCACAAGAACAAAAGCCAGCACACUGAGGAUGGUGGAGACGGAAGAAGUGACCCUGGCCAUCAGUGUUUCGGUCCAGCUGCUGAACCAGCC